CCUUGUACACACCGCCCGUCACGCCAUGGAAGCUGGGGGGACCUGAAGCCGGUGGGCUAACCGCAAGGGGGCAGCCGUCAAAGGUCAGUUCAGUGACUGGGGCG
rnacentral:rRNA from 1 species